rnacentral:tRNA from 3 species
GCUGCUGUGGCUCAGGAGGUAGAGCACAUCCUUGGUAAGGAUGAGGUCACCAGUUCAAGUCUGGUCAGCAGCUCCA